rnacentral:tRNA from 1 species
CNGGGUGUGGCGCAGCUUGGUAGCGCGCUUCGUUCGGGACGAAGAGGUCGUGGGUUCGAAUCCCGCCACCCCGACCA